rnacentral:rRNA from 1 species
GUCUACGGUGAUACCACCCUGAACGCAACUGAUCUUGUUUGAUCUCAGAAGCUAAGCAGGGUUGGACCUGAUUAGUAUUUGGAUGAGAGUUACCAGCUGGUAAAAUAUUGGAAUAAUUCAAACU